ensembl:lncRNA
GUGAGUUCCCUGCUCUUUCCUCUGAAAGUGUUUUUAGUUGAACAGUGUAAGAAGUAAAAAUGAAUUAACACAAGGGGACUUAAAGACUCAAUUAAGCGCAAAGCUGUUUUUCUGUUCUGGGGCAACAGGCAAAUUGUUUUUUCCCCAGGAAACUCAUUCUGAGGAAGCUGAUGUGAAAUUUUGGUCACAACAAUGGGGAGAUAAAUUUUUUUAGUCAUGGUACAAACAGGUCGGCUAUUUGCUUCAACAGAUGUCCUGAAUUCUGUGGUGUACGGACCUCCUCUCCAAGGAAAGAAAAUGCAGAGAAGACUCACCACUCAGCAGGCCUUGGAAAUGAUCCUGAGGGAAGUCGACCCUUGUGACUCGGAUGGAGAAGACCUAGGAGUUCAGCCGGAUUCGGACUCAGAGCUGUCUGAUCAGUCUUCCGAUGAGGAGACUGCUUCUCCACCGAAAAAGAGAGCUUGUUUGGGGACUGAGACAGCGAAAGAUGGCACAGUGUGGCGUGAAGAACAGGUGAGGGCCCGUCUCCCUUUCACCCCGAUAGAAGCGUACGCUGCAGAUGGAGAGCCAACGGCUAAGGCCAGGAGAAGGAUCUCGAGUCGCCUUCAGAGCUUCCUGUGUUUCAUCACUCUUGACAUGCUUCAUAGCAUUCAAGAAUGGACUAUUCAACAUGCACAGCAAACGGAGCAUGUUCAUUGGUUCAUGGACCUCCCAUGGAUACCAUGGCAGUGCCAGGAUUGUGAGUGAUUGCUGAAAAUGUUGAAAUGUACUCACUCACUUUUUAUUAUUAUUUGUAAAUAUGUGUACAAAUGGUUGGUUUUUUGUACUGUUUUUAUCAAUAAAUC